ACAAACUUGGUCAUUUAGAGGAAGUAAAAGUCGUAACAAGGUUUCCGUAGGUGAACCUGCGGAAGGAUCAUUACAGAGAUUGUGCCCCUCUUGGGGUAUAUCUCCCACCCAUUGUCUACUAUAUCUCUGUUGCUUUGGUGGGCCUGCCCUUGGCUGCCGGCUCUGGCUGGCUUGUGCUCACCAAAGGCCCCCUUUAAUUCUUUAAUUGGUGUUGUCUGAACUCUAUAAAAUAAAUGAAAACUUUCAACAACGGAUCUCUUGGUUCUGGCAUCGAUGAAGAACGCAGC
rnacentral:misc_RNA from 1 species